rnacentral:sRNA from 1 species
GUCAGCAUCGGCUACCUCCUGGUGAAGCACAGCCAGACGGACCAGGAGCCCAUGUGCCCGGUGGGCAUGAACAAGCUCUGGAGUGGAUACAGCCUGCUGUACUUCGAGGGCCAGGAGAAGGCGCACAACCAGGACCUGGGGCUGGCGGGCUCCUGCCUGGCGCGGUUCAGCACCAUGCCCUUCCUGUACUGCAACCCUGGUGAUGUCUGCUACUAUGCCAGCCGGAACGACAAGUCCUACUGGCUCUCUACCACUGCGCCGCUGCCCAUGAUGCCUGUGGCCGAGGACGAGAUCAAGCCCUACAUCAGCCGCUGCUCUGUGUGUGAGGCCCCAGCUGUCGCCAUCGCGGUCCACAGUCAGGAUGUCUCCAUCCCACACUGCCCAGCUGGGUGGCGGAGUUUGUGGAUCGGAUAUUCCUUCCUCAUGGUAUGUGGUAUUUGCCCAGUUCCCCUCCCCAACCACACCCUGCUGGGGACACAGCAAGAACAGCUGCCUUUGUAAGAAUAAUCAGACAGGGCAGUUCAGGGUGUGCACU